ensembl:lncRNA
UAUCUAUCUAUCUAUCUAUCUAUCUAUCCUAGCAACAUGCUAAUAAUGUUAGAAACAUGCUAGUCACUCGCUAAUCAUGCUUAAAGAAACAUGCUAGCGACAUGCUAGUAACUCGCUAAUCAUGCUAGAAACAUGCUAGCGACAUGCUAGUCCUCGCUAAUCAUGCUAGAAACAUGCUAACGACAUGCUAGUCACUUGCUAAUCAUGCUAAAAACAUGCUAGCGACAUGCUAGUCAUUUGCUAAUCAUGCUAGAAACAUGCUAGCGACAUGCUAGUCACUCGCUAAUCAUGCUAAAAACAUGCUAGGGAAAUGCUUAUCACUCGCUAAUCAUGCUAAAAACAUGCUACGAGUGACUAGCAUGUCGCUAGCAUGUUUUUAGCAUGAUUAGCGAAAACAUGCUAGUGACAUGCUAGUCACUUGCUUAUCAUGCUAAAAACAUGCUAGCGACAUGCUAGUCACUUGCUAAUCAUGCUAAAGAAACAUGCUAGCGACAUGCUAGUCACUCGCUAAUCAUGCUAGAAACAUGCUAGCGACAUGCUAGUCACUCGCUAAUCAUGCUAAAAACAUGCUAGCGACAUGCUAGUCACUCGCUAAUCAUGCUAAAAACAUGCUAGUGACAUG